AGCAGCCGCGGUAAUUCCAGCUCCAAUAGCGUAUAUUAAAGUUGUUGCAGUCAAAAAGCUCGUAGUUGAAUUUCGAGAUCAAUUUGUUGGUCGUGCCUCGGUACGUACUGGCAAUUUUGAUUUCUCCCUUCUGAAGAACCAUGAUGUCAUUAAUUUGGUGUCAUGGGGAAUCAGGACUGUUACUUUGAAAAAUUAGAGUGUUUAAAGCAGGCUCGCGCUUGAAUACAUUAGCAUGGAAUAAUGAAAUAGGACGUUUGAUUCUAUUUUGUUGGUUUCUAGGAUCGACGUAAUGAUUAAUAGGGAUAGUUGGGGGCAUUAGUAUUCAAUUGUCAGAGGUGAAAUUCUUGGAUUUAUUGAAGACUAACUACUGCGAAAGCAUUUGCCAAGGAUGUUUUCAUUAAUCAAGAACGAAAGUUAGGGGAUCGAAGACGAUCAGAUACCGUCGUAGUC
rnacentral:rRNA from 1 species